AGUCCAAGUUUUGCUCUCUAAUGAUUAAAAAAAAAAACCUUUCAAUAUGAAAAAUGACUUUGUAAGUGAAUAAAGAUAAGACAGAACAUUUCUAGGUGGAAUCUAUUGCAAGAAUAUUCAACUUAAGAGUAACAAGGGUAUAUGAAACAGCUUAGCAGAGUGGGUAAAACAUUGGAUUUGAUCUCCACAAGACCUCUUGAUUUCAAAUCCUAUCUCUGACACUGGCAGAGUGAUCUUGGUCUCAAAUCAAAGAUAAUUUCCCAGAUUAACACAAGUUUAAGGAUUAAAAGUUCCACAAAAUGUAAAAGCACAGAAUCUUCUUUGAUAUGACACAUCAUGCUGAGUGGUCCUGUGCCAUCAUCUCCCACGGCUCACAAUCAAUUUCUUCUGAGAGACCUUGAGACUUUCCUUGUACUACUUCUUCUGACCUCUGGGUAAUCUUCAGAAUCUUCCUAAAGCAAUUCAAAUGGCAGCAGUUCAAUUUUCUAGCAACUUGCUGGUGGACUGUCCAGGUUUCACAGGCAUACAACAAUGAAAUCAGCACAAUGGCUCUGUAGACCUUCAUUUGGGUGGACAUCAGGCAGUAAUGGAAUUGAAGUCUCUAAGACUUGAGUUUAAAUCCCGACUCAGAUGCUUAUUAGCUGUGUGAUCCUAGACAAUUACUUAACUUCUUCAAGCCUCAGUUUCCUCAUCUGUAAAAUGGGGAUAAUAUGAGGAGCUACAUCAUAGAGCAACUGAUGAUCAAACAAUAGACUAUAUAUAUAGUGUUUUGUAAAACUUAAAGUGCAAUAUAAAUAGUAGGUACUCUUUUUUUCUUUAGAGCCCCAGACAGUGCUACUGCUCUUAAUACCUGUGUCAUAAAAAAAAAAUAAAAACUACAUUUUUUGCCUGA